CGCGGAGGGAGUGAAGGAGCCCAUCUCGGCCCUUCCGCCUCCCCCUUGGAGCCUGGCUUCGGGGUAGAGAGGAGGAGGCGGGCGCCACGGCUCGGGUCGGCGGCACUGGCUGCGGGCGUCGGGCGAGGGGCGAGGGAGCCCCCCCAGCCCCCGCUGGCGCCCGCAACUCCGGGCUCCGUCCGGGAGCUGCGGCGGCCACACUUCGCGCAGACACGCGCGCGGGGGAGGGGAGGGUGACAGAACCGACCCGGGAAGCUGGCCUUGGGCGCACGGGACCCCUCACCUGCCGAGGCAGGUAGGGAGCCAGUGGCCCACCCGGAUAGACGCGCCACUAGAACGCCUUCAGUUGCUGAGGCAAGGGUCCCUCCCGGGCGUGGAAAAUUCUCGCUUCAACUUGUGGGUCCAGAGUGUGAAUCAAGAAUAACAUGGCAACCGAGCCUGGGGAGCCAUGGACCCAUCCUGAGUCUUGGACCACCAUUCAUGCUGUCUAUCCUCUACCUUAGAAGUGUUCUCGGAGGGAAACAUUGCAUCGUUGAAGUGUCAAGUCGAUUUGAUUACUCUCAGAUCAGCCCUAUGGAGAGACCCGUGUAGCAGGGGACAAAGCCUCCAGUGAACAGCCAUGAGAGCGAGCCUUCUUGGAAAUGGCUACUCUGGCUUCAGCCAUGCCCACAGUGUCUCAGCAGAUGUCCAAGGUUGAGAGAAGCUCUGCUGAAGGACUGUACCCAAGGAGCCUCAUCCAUACCAGAAACUAACUUAGAUGAUGAGAUUCUGGAGUUUGAGCUGACGCAUCAGAUUUUGUGGACCUUAUGAAGAGUGCGUAUAUUUUACAUGUAGGAAGAAUGUAAGUAAUUUGUGGACAGAGGAUGGACUAUGGUAUUUUUAAAUGUAUCCCCUCAAGAGGUAGAGUCCAAUCCCCCCCCUUCAUGCGAGUGUCUGUGGACUUAAUGACUCCUUUCUAAUGACUAGAAUAAAGUAGAAGUGAGAGAGGGAAACUUGUACAACUAGGUUGUGCAAGCCACUGUGCCUCUUUCUCGGUUAUUCUGGGAGAAGUUAGCUGCCAUGGCAUGAGCAGCUGAACGGAGUGGUCCACGUGGCAAGAAACAAGAGUCCUCCAAGAGAGCCAUGUGCGUGAGCUUUCCUGGAAGUCAAUCCUCCAGUUGCAGCCAUGCCUUCAGAUGCCUAGUCCCAGCUCACAGCUUGAUGGCAACCUCGUGAGAGACCCUGGGGCUGGAUCACCCAGCUAAGCUGCUCCCGAAUUCCCCACUCUCAGGAACUGUGUGAGAUAUUAAAUGUUUUCUUAGGAUUCUGCAUUUUGGGUACUCUGCCUGGCAGCAAUAGAUAACUAAUAUAGCACAAGGGGAAAUAUUCUUUUGUAGCAUUUGUCAAAUAAGUUCAAAUAUGAGGCACUUAGCGAACUUCCCGAUCUCAGAUAAUCGUGGCAAAUGAUUGCCCCUUGAGGUACAGGGAAAAAGCCAGUGAGACACAGAGGGAAAGUAAAGAGGAAGAUAAAAGAAGAGAGGACUAAAAGAAGGAAUAAAAGAAAAAAUAGCAAGAGAAGGACACAGGAAAGGUGUCCAUAUUUCCUAGUUUACUCAGGACAGUCCCAGUUUGUAGUGUUGUCCUACUACAAUUAUAACUAGAAUCCCCUUUCACUCUCAAGGGUCUUGGUUUGAAGGAUAAAUUAUAUGACUCUAGCUAGAGGCCAAUAUUUCAGUCUUCCAUUCUCACUGUUUUUUGCCUUAAUAUUCUAUCUUUUUCCCAUGGCUUGUUGCCCCAGCCUCUUUCCAGUCUGUUCUGAUACUAGCCCAGAGUCCUAACUUUCCCACCAAACCACAGCCUGUCACUGGCACCAGCUCCAGGAGUUAGAGGUCACCUCUGUCCACUCCCUCGUGUUCUUUCAUCACAGUAAGCAGUUUGUCACAGCAGCAAAGAGAUCAGUGUAGGAACUAGACAAGGGUCUGGAUCUUGGUUGUACACCUGCUGGGGGAAUUACUUAACUUCUUUAAGCCUCAGAUAUAAGCUUCAGAAUAGAAUAUUAUCUACUAUCUUAUAGGGAUGUGGAAGAUGUUAAUGGGAUUGUGUACAUAAUGUGCUUAGCACAGUGCCUGACAUAUAUAUGCUGGGCACUGUACCUUUGAGCAUUUUAUAUGCAUAAUAUAUUUGACGAAUAUAUGUUAGUUAUAAUCUUAACUUACUGUCACAGAAAACAAAGUCAUCUCAUUGAGGCUGAAGCACCUUAGGUGUCGGGACAUGUAUUUUACUGGGGAACCCUCAAGUACAUGAGUACUUGUCUUUAUUAGUUUUAAUGUUAGAAGGCAGAGACAUGGUUAGGAAAUGUGUUUAGGAGUAAAGUAAAAGCCAGGCAAAGACUAUAUUUGCUUUUCAGGCUUGAUAUGUUUUACUUUGCUCAUUCAUUCAUUCAUUCAUUCAUACAUUUAUCCACUUAUUCUUUCAACAAAGAUAUAUUAGUUAUCUACCAGAUCACACGCACGAUGCUAACCACAGGAUUGAGCAAUGCUUUGCAACAAGAAUAAAGCUGUAUUCCCACUUCUUCCAGGAAAACAUUACAUUUAAAAAAGGUGUUAUGUGGGAAUAUGAGUGACUAGUGAUCUGAAGCCAAAUUAAAAAAUAUAUAUACACACACACACGUAUGUUUUUCAGGGUGACUAGAUUUUAUUUUAAAUUAGUUUUGAGCAAUAGAAGCAAUUUGCUGCUAUAAAAAGGAACAGGUUUUAGCUUUUGACUUGAUUUUUUUUUAAACUAAGAGUGGGAAAAUGCAAAUUAUGUGAAUAUAUAAUUCGGAAUCCUGGUGAUGGGAGCAGAAGGAGCUGACAGGAAGACAGAAUUCUCUCUCUCUUUUUUUUUUUGCCAUAGGCAAUCCUUUUCUCUGUUUUUAGGAAAAAAGAAAACUAGUAGACAGAAAUAGUCCUAGGCACAUGGAUUAUAUAUUUCAUAUGCAUAGCAUAGAAUAUUCAGUAAAGUUAAGUAGGUGUCUGAAAACCAAGAAACUUCAAUACAUGAAGGUGACGACAACAAUUAAAGUAGGAUGCCUUCAACCUAUAUGGUAGGUUUAAGGCAUUUGGCAAUAUCAUUUUGUUUUCAUUCUUAAAAAUAUAUUUUCUUUUCACUAUUUUUAAUUCCCUUUGAUAAUGAGCACCGCUUUAUACUUUUCAAUAGCCCAUGGAUUUUUACCUCUGUGUUCAUCUUCAAGGUCAAGUUUAUGAACAUGCUACAAAUAAGCUAACUGUAAAUGAGUUAGGGGUGUUUUUUAGGAGUAAUAAUAACCAACAUUUAUUAAGUGUUUGUUAAAUUCAAAGCUGUACAGGCCAUUUCCCCUCUAAUUCUCACAACAGCCAUGGGACUCCGCCGCUGUCAUUGUCUUGUCCCACAUGUGAAAAAGGCAUGGAAAGUGGAAGAACCUUGCUUGACUACAAAGGUAGGUGGUGACAGAGUCAGGAUUUGAACCUGGGAGUCUGGCUCGAGACCCAUGCUUAACCACACUAUUUUGAAUGGAUGGGCUAAAUGUUUUUCACCUGUUUAUGGAUAUUUCCCAAUUAGUCUCUUUUGAAAAAGUUAUAUCUUCUUGGGUUCUCUUUUAAGUCCUUGCCCUUGUCUCUGUUCUAUCCAAGGAUCAUUUAACCUGAUAAAUAUGCAAGUCCACACCUGUCUGCAUGAUGCACUGACUCAUUCAUUUAGCUGAAAGGUAGAAACCAAAUUGGUUUUUAAAAAUACAUAGGAAUCUAAUUGAAAAAUUUCAUGAAUCACCUUAAUGAGAAACCAGUAGCAGAAUCUCAAGUACAGAGAGCCUCAGACAAUUGCUUUUUAAAAGCCCUGGUCAACUAUACAUAUUCAUCUUGAAUGAAAACGCCUCUCUAGCAAGACAUUGCGUGACAGUAGUAAUCACUGAAGUUUAGGAUGUGAAAACCAUCUCAAGUGACUUAAAUUAUUGUUCCUUAUUCUUCUGUGUUUGAACAUCAUGAUGUGUCUACUUAGUAUUGAAUAGCGAGGUGGCCAGUAUUCUUUCCAGCACUGGGUAAAUUAAAGACAAACCAAGUUGAUAA